AACCCUUUGUUGUCCGACUCUGUUGCCUCCGGGGCGACCCUGCCUUCGGGCGGGGGCUCCGGGUGGACACUUCAAACUCUUGCGUAACUUUGCAGUCUGAGUAAACUUAAUUAAUAAAUUAAAACUUUUAACAACGGAUCUCUUGGUUCUGGCAUCGAUGAAGAACGCAGCGAAAUGCGAUAAGUAAUGUGAAUUGCAGAAUUCAGUGAAUCAUCGAAUCUUUGAACGCACAUUGCGCCCCCUGGUAUUCCGGGGGGCAUGCCUGUUCGAGCGUCAUUUCACCACUCAAGCCUCGCUUGGUAUUGGGCAACGCGGUCCGCCGCGUGCCUCAAAUCGACCGGCUGGGUCUUCUGUCCCCUAAGCGUUGUGGAAACUAUUCGCUAAAGGGUGCUCGGGAGGCUACGCCGUAAAACAAACCCAUUUCUAAGGUUGACCUCGGAUCAGGUAGGGAUACCCGCUGAACUUAAGCAUAUCAA
rnacentral:rRNA from 1 species